rnacentral:misc_RNA from 1 species
GAUGAAGAACGUAGUGAAAUGCGAUAAGUAAUGUGAAUUGCAGAAUUCAGUGAAUCAUCGAAUCUUUGAACGCACAUUGCGCCCCCUGGUAUUCCGGGGGGCAUGCCUGUUCGAGCGUCAUUUCACCACUCAAGCCUCGCUUGGUAUUGGGCAACGCGGUCCGCCGCGUGCCUCAAAUCGACCGGCUGUCUUCUGUCCCCUAAGCGUUGUGGAAACUAUUCGCUAAAGGGUGUUCGGGAGGCUACGCCGUAAAACAACCCCAUUUCUAAGGUUGACCUCGGAUCAGGUAGGGAUACCCGCUGAACUUAAGCAUAUCAAUAAGCGGAGGA